GCUUGCUUCAGCAGGACAUAUACUAAAAUUGGAAUGAUACAGAGAAGAGUAGCAUGGCCCCUGCGCAAGGAUGACACACAAAAUUCAUGAAGCACUCCCUGCUUGG